GACAGGGACUUUUAGCUCAGUGGUAGAGCGGUCGACUGCAGAUCGACAGGUCGCCGGAUCAACCCCGGCUCUGGCG